rnacentral:lncRNA from 1 species
CCCGCUCGCGCCUCUCCCUCCAUACCUCCCUGCAAGCUGAGGGAGUGGGCUCCGGCCUUGGCCAGCUCAGAAAGGGGCUCCCACAGUGCAGCGGCGGGCUGAAGGGCUCCUCAAGUGCCGCCAAAGUGGGAGCCCAGGCAGAGGAGGCGCAGAGAGCUAGCGAGGGCUGUGAGGACUGCCAGCACGCUGUCACCUCUCAGUGUCCAGGAAGGAAAUAAUCUUGCUGUAUGCUUGGGGUACUAAGAGAAAUAUAGCACCUAUAGGAAGAAA